GGGCCCGCACAAGCGGUGGAGCAUGUGGCUUAAUUCGAGGCAACGCGAAGAACCUUACCUGGUCUUGACAUGCCCGUCAUAGUUUUCCGAAAGGAAUUCGUCAGUUAGGCUGGACGGUGCACAGGUGCUGCAUGGCUGUCGUCAGCUCGUGUCGUGAGAUGUUCGGUUAAGUCCGGCAACGAGCGCAACCCUCGUUCCUAGUUGCCAGCGGGUAAUGCCGGGGACUCUAGGAAGACAAACCUCGUGUAGAGGUGGGAAGGUGGGGACGACGUCAAGUCAGUAUGGCCCUUACGACCAGGGCUGCACACGUGCUACAAUGCCCAGCACAAUGGGAUGCAACACCGCGAGGUUGAGCAAAUCCACAAAACCGAGCCCAGUUCGGAUUGGAGUCUGCAACUCGACUCCAUGAAGUUGGAAUCGCUAGUAAUGGC
rnacentral:rRNA from 1 species